rnacentral:rRNA from 1 species
GAUGAACGCUGGCGGCGUGCCUAAUACAUGCAAGUCGAGCGAACAGAUGAGGAGCUUGCUCCUCUGACGUUAGCGGCGGACGGGUGAGUAACACGUGGUUAACCUACCUAUAAGACUGGGAUAACUUCGGGAAACCGGAGCUAAUACCGGAUAAUAUAUUGAACCGCAUGGUUCAAUAGUGAAAGACGGUUUUGCUGUCACUUAUAGAUGGAUCCGCGCCGCAUUAGCUAGUUGGUAAGGUAACGGCUUACCAAGGCAACGAUGCGUAGCCGACCUGAGAGGGUGAUCGGCCACACUGGAACUGAGACACGGUCCAGACUCCUACGGGAGGCAGCAGUAGGGAAUCUUCCGCAAUGGGCGAAAGCCUGACGGAGCAACGCCGCGUGAGUGAUGAAGGUCUUCGGAUCGUAAAACUCUGUUAUUAGGGAAGAACAAAUGUGUAAGUAACUAUGCACGUCUUGACGGCACCUAAUCAGAAAGCCACGGCUAACUACGUG